rnacentral:lncRNA from 1 species
CUUGAAUUAGUACACAUGUUACCUAUGGUAUAAUCUUUCUAAUUUUAAUGCCAAACUAGAUUUUUUACCCAAUAUCACGUUCCAUUGAACAUGGAAAUUGAUAGUGCCAGUGGGGCAUCCGUGUACCAUGGACACAUUCUUGUUUUAUAAUUGUAAGAUUUUUAGAUCUCCACCAAAAUAUAUUGAUAAAAAAGUAUUUUUGACAUAUGUCUUCCGAGACCACAACAUGCAAAAUAAAACAGG